GCAGUCGAGCGAAUGGAUUAAGAGCUUGCUCUUAUGAAGUUAGCGGCGGACGGGUGAGUAACACGUGGGUAACCUGCCCAUAAGACUGGGAUAACUCCGGGAAACCGGGGCUAAUACCGGAUAACAUUUUGAACCGCAUGGUUCGAAAUUGAAAGGCGGCUUCGGCUGUCACUUAUGGAUGGACCCGCGUCGCAUUAGCUAGUUGGUGAGGUAACGGCUCACCAAGGCAACGAUGCGUAGCCGACCUGAGAGGGUGAUCGGCCACACUGGGACUGAGACACGGCCCAGACUCCUACGGGAGGCAGCAGUAGGGAAUCUUCCGCAAUGGACGAAAGUCUGACGGAGCAACGCCGCGUGAGUGAUGAAGGCUUUCGGGUCGUAAAACUCUGUUGUUAGGGAAGAACAAGUGCUAGUUGAAUAAGCUGGCACCUUGACGGUACCUAACCAGAAAGCCACGGCUAACUACGUGCCAGCAGCCGCGGUAAUACGUAGGUGGCAAGCGUUAUCCGGAAUUAUUGGGCGUAAAGCGCGCGCAGGUGGUUUCUUAAGUCUGAUGUGAAAGCCCACGGCUCAACCGUGGAGGGUCAUUGGAAACUGGGAGACUUGAGUGCAGAAGAGGAAAGUGGAAUUCCAUGUGUAGCGGUGAAAUGCGUAGAGAUAUGGAGGAACACCAGUGGCGAAGGCGACUUUCUGGUCUGUAACUGACACUGAGGCGCGAAAGCGUGGGGAGCAAACAGG
rnacentral:rRNA from 1 species